rnacentral:rRNA from 1 species
AGAGAUAGAGGAGUGCCUUCGGGAACGCUGAGACAGGUGCUGCAUGGCUGUCGUCAGCUCGUGUUGUGAAAUGUUGGGUUAAGUCCCGCAACGAGCGCAACCCUUAUCCUUUGUUGCCAGCACGUAAUGGUGGGAACUCAAAGGAGACUGCCGGUGAUAAACCGGAGGAAGGUGGGGAUGACGUCAAGUCAUCAUGGCCCUUACGAGUAGGGCUACACACGUGCUACAAUGGCAGAUACAAAGAGAAGCGACCUCGCGAGAGCAAGCGGAACUCAUAAAGUCUGUCGUAGUCCGGAUUGGAGUCUGCAACUCGACUCCAUGAAGUCGGAAUCGCUAGUAAUCGUAGAUCAGAAUGCUACGGUGAAUACGUUCCCGGGCCUUGUACACACCGCCCGUCACACCAUGGGAGUGGGUUGCAAAAGAAGUAGGUAGCUUAACCUUCGGGAGGGCGCUUACCACUUUGUGAUUCAUGACUGGGGUGAAGUCGUAACAAGGUAACCGUA